rnacentral:misc_RNA from 1 species
GGAUGAAGUAUUGGGGAAAUGUGUAAUUCCUUUGCAGUAUGUGGACAGGCGGCUUGACCACAGACCUGUUAAUAGCAGGUGGUUUAAUCUGGAGAAACAUGUUGUUGUAGAAGGGGAAAAGAAGAAAGAAAUUAAGUUUGCCAGCAGGAUUCAUAUGAGAAUCUGUCUGGAGGGUGGUUAUCAUGUUCUGGAUGAAUCAACACACUAUAGUAGUGAUCUUCGACCUACAGCCAAACAGUUGUGGAAGCAGAGUAUUGGGGUGCUUGAAUUAGGUAUCCUCAAAGCACAGGGAUUGAUGCCCAUGAGGACAAAGGAUGGUCGGGGAACAACUGAUUCGUACUGUGUGGCGAAGUAUGGCCAGAAGUGGAUUCGUACACGUACCAUUAUAGACAGUCUCAUGCCCAAAUGGAAUGAGCAAUAUACUUGGGAAGUUUUUGAUCCCUGUACUGUCAUAACUAUUGGGGUCUUUGAUAACUGCCAUUUACAUGGAGGGGACAAGUCUGGAGUGGCCAAAGAUGUGACGAUAGGCAAGGUGCGAAUCCGUCUUUCCACACUUGAAACUGAUCGGGUUUACACGCACUCUUAUCCUCUCCUGGUCCUGCAUCCUAGUGGUGUCAAGAAGAUGGGAGAAAUUCAUUUGGCAGUGCGUUUCACAUGCUCAUCUUUGCUCAAUAUGAUGCACAUGUACUCGCAACCUUUGCUGCCAAAGAUGCACUAUCUCUAUCCACUUACAGUUAGCCAGCUUGAUAGUUUGAGGCACCAGGCCACUCAGAUUGUGUCCAUGAGGCUGAGCAGAGCAGAGCCACCAUUAAGGAAGGAGGUUGUUGAAUACAUGCUAGAUGUGGGGUCUCACAUGUGGAGCAUGAGAAGAAGCAAA